rnacentral:lncRNA from 1 species
UUUGAGUUUUCCUUAAAUACUACUAUUUUUUAUCACUUUUUUUUUUAUAUAUAUGUGUGAUUAAAAGAUGUGACCAAACCUUUGUUACUACCGAAAAAUUAUUUUGUUACUCCUUAAGUUUUGAAAAUUAGUUUUUGUAAAAAAAAAAUAAAUUUUGAAAAUUAGUCACUCAUUGAUAUGAAAUGAGUAUUUCUCCUUUCAAAUGAGUGACUCGUUUUAUAAAUACUAUCGGGCCAGACAUCUGGCUAUAUUUAAUUUGUGUAAAAAAAAAGUCUUAAAGUUAUGAUGAGUUUGUUAAUAAGAGAUUAUUGCUGCUAAAGAAAA